rnacentral:tmRNA from 1 species
AAUUAGUCAGUGGCUAUCUCACGACGAAAGUGCUUGCCUUUUGUUGAUGAGGUAUCAUUCUAGCAAGCUGGCCUCGUGCACCGCCUAAACGCACAAGGUGAGACUUUUAGGCUGGUUAGUAUAAAGUUUGACUAUUUCCGAUAUACUAAUAAGAGCUUAAGAUAGUCUAUGCAUGUAGACACUGUAUGUACAAUUUGUUCGGACGGGAGUUCAAUUCUCCCCACCUCCACAA